rnacentral:lncRNA from 1 species
AUGGAUAGUGAUUUUUUUUACGAUACAACUUACAUAGACAAAAAUAGUGUAUGUAAAAAGAAUGACAAAUUAUUGGUUAAAAAUAAAAUAAAAAAAAAAUUAGAUCAAGCAUGUAUAUUACAAAAUGAAUUAUGUAAUCAAAAUAAAGAGAAUUCGACACUAAAUUGUUUUUUAUAUUCUGUAGAUAACAAUGACAAUAACAAUGUAGGCAGAUUUAAUUUAUAUACGGGUAUACAAGAAUCGGAUAGGUUAAAUAACAUUAAUAGUAAUGUUAGUAAAACUAAAUCAAUUACAUAUAAAAAUAAUAAUAAUAAUAAUAAUAAUAAUAAUAAUAAUAAUAAUAAUAANNNNNNNNNNAAUAAUAAUAAUAAUAAUAAUAAUAAUAAUAAUAAUAAUAAUAAUAAUCAUAAUAAUAAUCAUAAUAAUAAUCAUAAUAAUAAUCAUAAUAAUAAUAAUAAUAUGUAUUAUGUACAUGAUAAUUAUGUAAAUGUAAAAAAUUGUCAAAAAAAUGUAUUUAUUAAACACAGUCAACGAAAAAUAAAUACAAAAACUUCCUUAAACAAUCAAAAACUCAUUCUCUGUAAUAAUAGUAAUAGUAUAAAUAGUAGUAAUAAUAACAAUAGUAAUAAUAGUAAAAAUAGUAAUAAUAGUAAAAAUAGUAAUAAUAGUAUAAAUAGUAGUAAUAAUAAUGAUAAAGUAAAAGUAUAUAAAAAUAUACACUCUACUAUUACACACAAUUUUAAUUGUUGUAAUAAAAAAAGUAAUGAAUCAUAUGAUUGUUCAUAUGUAUAUACUAAACAUAUUCCACAACAAAAUACUCACAAUUAUAUUACUUAUAAUAAUAUGGCACUAACAAAUAAUUAUAUGCCCAGUAAUAAACAUUUGGUUCAUAGUAAUAUUGUUGGUAAUAGGAACCCAAAAACUGAUGUAAGCAAAACAACGCCAAUGAAUAAAAUAAAAAUAAAUAAAAAAUUAAAAGAUAGCCAUAAUAUACUACAUAAAACAAAUUACCCAGUAGAUAAUUAUUUUAUUUCGCAAGUUUUUGAUUAUAAUAAUACUAAUAAAAAUUAUUUUAAAAAAAAUAAUGUGUCAACAAAUAAAUAUAAAAACUAUAAAAAAGAGAAAGAUCUGGACUUAAUUAACAAUACAAAUAAUAAUACAAUAUAUUUGCAAAAAGGUGUAAUUAAUUAUUUGAACAGUUAUAAUAUUAAUACAAAAAAAAGUUGCUAUAAUUUACCAAAACAAAUAAACAGCUUUAAGUGUUUUCCAAAUAAUUUGUAUUACAAUAAUUAUAUUCUAAAAAUUAAUAACAACAAUAGUAAUGUAAAUAUUAACCUAAAUAAUAAUAAACAAUUUUUUUUUAAUAAUAAAAAUAAUAUAACAAGUAAUAGUCACAAGUAUCAAAAUAUAACAAACUUAAAAAACAACACUUUAAUCAUUCCUAAAAAAAUAAAUAAUAAUUAUAAUUAUAAAAAAUGUUUUUUUUCGCCAACUGUUUUUAGAAGUAACAACUGUUAUGAACCCCAAAAAAAAAAAAACAAAUACAGUUUCUUCAAUAUCACUACUAAAAUUAUUUAA